CCUACGGGAGGCAGCAGUGGGGAAUAUUGGACAAUGGGCGCAAGCCUGAUCCAGCAAUGCCGCGUGAGUGAUGAAGGCCUUAGGGUCGUAAAGCUCUUUUACCAGGGAUGAUAAUGACAGUACCUGGAGAAUAAGCUCCGGCUAACUCCGUGCCAGCAGCCGCGGUAAUACGGAGGGAGCUAGCGUUGUUCGGAAUUACUGGGCGUAAAGCGUACGUAGGCGGUUAUUCAAGUCAGAGGUGAAAGCCCGGGGCUCAACCCCGGAACGGCCUUUGAAACUAGGUAGCUAGAAUCUUGGAGAGGUCAGUGGAAUUCCGAGUGUAGAGGUGAAAUUCGUAGAUAUUCGGAAGAACACCAGUGGCGAAGGCGACUGACUGGACAAGUAUUGACGCUGAGGUACGAAAGCGUGGGGAGCAAACAGGAUUAGAUACCCUGGUAGUCCACGCCGUAAACGAUGAUAACUAGCUGUUACGGGCACUUGGUGCUUGAGUGGCGCAGCUAACGCAUUAAGUUAUCCGCCUGGGAUCGGUGCAGNUAAACUUAAGGAAUUGAGCUGAG
rnacentral:rRNA from 1 species